rnacentral:rRNA from 1 species
CUCUUUAUGGGGGGUGACUGCGUACCUUUUGUAUAAUGGGUCAGCGACUUAUAUUCUGUAGCAAGGUUAACCGCAUAGGGGAGCCGAAGGGAAACCGAGUCUUAAUUGGGCGUUAAGUUGCAGGGUAUAGACCCGAAACCCGGUGAUCUAGCCAUGGGCAGGUUGAAGGUUGGGUAACACUAACUGGAGGACCGAACCGACUAAUGUUGAAAAAUUAGCGGAUGACCUGUGGCUGGGGGUGAAAGGCCAAUCAAACCGGGAGAUAGCUGGUUCUCCCCGAAAGCUAUUUAGGUAGCGCCUCGUGAACUCAUCUCCGGGGGUAGAGCACUGUUUCGGCUAGGGGGCCAUCCCGGCUUACCAACCCGAUGCAAACUGCGAAUACCGGAGAAUGUUAUCACGGGAGACACACGGCGGGUGCUAACGUCCGUCGUGAAGAGGGAAACAACCCAGACCGCCAGCUAAGGUCCCAAAGUCAUGGUUAAGUGGGAAACGAUGUGGGAAGGCCCAGACAGCCAGGAUGUUGGCUUAGAAGCAGCCAUCAUUUAAAGAAAGCGUAAUAGCUCACUGGUCGAGUCGGCCUGCGCGGAAGAUGUAACGGGGCUAAACCAUGCACCGAAGCUGCGGCAGCGACACUUUAGUGUUGUUGGGUAGGGGAGCGUUCUGUAAGCCGUUGAAGGUGUCCUGUGAGGGGUGCUGGAGGUAUCAGAAGUGCGAAUGCUGACAUAAGUAACGAUAAAGCGGGUGAAAAGCCCGCUCGCCGGAAGACCAAGGGUUCCUGUCCAACGUUAAUCGGGGCAGGGUGAGUCGACCCCUAAGGCGAGGCCGAAAGGCGUAGUCGAUGGGAAACGGGUUAAUAUUCCCGUACUUGGUGUUACUGCGAAGGGGGGACGGAGAAGGCUAUGUUGGCCGGGCGACGGUAGUCCCGGUUUAAGCGUGUAGGUGUGUGUUCCAGGCAAAUCCGGUUCACUUUAACACUGAGGCGUGAUGACGAGGCACCACGGUGCUGAAGCAACAAAUGCCCUGCUUCCAGGAAAAGCCUCUAAGCAUCAGGUAACAUCAAAUCGUACCCCAAACCGACACAGGUGGUCAGGUAGAGAAUACCAAGGCGCUUGAGAGAACUCGGGUGAAGGAACUAGGCAAAAUGGUGCCGUAACUUCGGGAGAAGGCACGCUGACACGUAGGUGAAGUGAUUUACUCACGGAGCUGAAGUCAGUCGAAGAUACCAGCUGGCUGCAACUGUUUAUUAAAAACACAGCACUGUGCAAACACGAAAGUGGACGUAUACGGUGUGACGCCUGCCCGGUGCCGGAAGGUUAAUUGAUGGGGUCAGCGCAAGCGAAGCUCCUGAUCGAAGCCCCGGUAAACGGCGGCCGUAACUAUAACGGUCCUAAGGUAGCGAAAUUCCUUGUCGGGUAAGUUCCGACCUGCACGAAUGGCGUAAUGAUGGCCAGGCUGUCUCCACCCGAGACUCAGUGAAAUUGAACUCGCUGUGAAGAUGCAGUGUACCCGCGGCAAGACGGAAAGACCCCGUGAACCUUUACUAUAGCUUGACACUGAACAUUGAGCCUUGAUGUGUAGGAUAGGUGGGAGGCUUUGAAGCGUGGACGCCAGUCUGCGUGGAGCCGACCUUGAAAUACCACCCUUUAAUGUUUGAUGUUCUAACGUGGACCCGUAAUCCGGGUUGCGGACAGUGUCUGGUGGGUAGUUUGACUGGGGCGGUCUCCUCCUAAAGAGUAACGGAGGAGCACGAAGGUUGGCUAAUCCUGGUCGGACAUCAGGAGGUUAGUGCAAUGGCAUAAGCCAGCUUGACUGCGAGCGUGACGGCGCGAGCAGGUGCGAAAGCAGGUCAUAGUGAUCCGGUGGUUCUGAAUGGAAGGGCCAUCGCUCAACGGAUAAAAGGUACUCCGGGGAUAACAGGCUGAUACCGCCCAAGAGUUCAUAUCGACGGCGGUGUUUGGCACCUCGAUGUCGGCUCAUCACAUCCUGGGGCUGAAGUAGGUCCCAAGGGUAUGGCUGUUCGCCAUUUAAAGUGGUACGCGAGCUGGGUUUAGAACGUCGUGAGACAGUUCGGUCCCUAUCUGCCGUGGGCGCUGGAGAAUUGAGGGGGGCUGCUCCUAGUACGAGAGGACCGGAGUGGACGCAUCACUGGUGUUCGGGUUGUCAUGCCAAUGGCACUGCCCGGUAGCUAAAUGCGGAAAAGAUAAGUGCUGAAAGCAUCUAAGCACGAAACUUGCCCCGAGAUGAGUUCUCCCUGAGACUUUGAGUCUCCUGAAGGAACGUUAAAGACGAUGACGUUGAUAGGCCGGGUGUGUAAGCGCAGCGAUGCGUUGAGCUAACCGGUACUAAUGAACCGUGAGGCUUA